AUGAACGCUGGCGGCGUGCCUAAUACAUGCAAGUCGAACGCUUCACUUCGGUGAAGAGUGGCGAACGGGUGAGUAAUACAUAAGUAACCUGGCAUCUACAGGGGGAUAACUGAUGGAAACGUCAGCUAAGACCGCAUAGGUGUAGAGAUCGCAUGAACUCUAUAUGAAAAGUGCUACGGGACUGGUAGAUGAUGGACUUAUGGCGCAUUAGCUGGUUGGUAGGGUAACGGCCUACCAAGGCGACGAUGCGUAGCCGACCUGAGAGGGUGACCGGCCACACUGGGACUGAGACACGGCCCAGACUCCUACGGGAGGCAGCAGUAGGGAAUUUUCGGCAAUGGGGGAAACCCUGACCGAGCAACGCCGCGUGAAGGAAGAAGUAAUUCGUUAUGUAAACUUCUGUCAUAGAGGAAGAACGGUGGAUAUAGGGAAUGAUAUCCAAGUGACGGUACUCUAUAAGAAAGCCACGGCUAACUACGUGCCAGCAGCCGCGGUAAUACGUAGGUGGCGAGCGUUAUCCGGAAUUAUUGGGCGUAAAGAGGGAGCAGGCGGCACUAAGGGUCUGUGGUGAAAGAUCGAAGCUUAACUUCGGUAAGCCAUGGAAACCGUAGAGCUAGAGUGUGUGAGAGGAUCGUGGAAUUCCAUGUGUAGCGGUGAAAUGCGUAGAUAUAUGGAGGAACACCAGUGGCGAAGGCGACGAUCUGGCGCAUAACUGACGCUCAGUCCCGAAAGCGUGGGGAGCAAAUAGGAUUAGAUACCCUAGUAGUCCACGCCGUAAACGAUGAGUACUAAGUGUUGGGGGUCAAACCUCAGUGCUGCAGUUAACGCAAUAAGUACUCCGCCUGAGUAGUACGUUCGCAAGAAUGAAACUCAAAGGAAUUGACGGGGGCCCGCACAAGCGGUGGAGCAUGUGGUUUAAUUCGAAGCAACGCGAAGAACCUUACCAGGUCUUGACAUCGAUCUAAAGGCUCCAGAGAUGGAGAGAUAGCUAUAGAGAAGACAGGUGGUGCAUGGUUGUCGUCAGCUCGUGUCGUGAGAUGUUGGGUUAAGUCCCGCAACGAGCGCAACCCUUGUCCUUAGUAGCCAGCAUUUUGGAUGGGCACUCUAGGGAGACUGCCGGAGAUAAUCCGGAGGAAGGUGGGGAUGACGUCAAAUCAUCAUGCCCCUUAUGACCUGGGCUACACACGUGCUACAAUGGACAGAGCAGAGGGAAGCGAAGCCGCGAGGUGGAGCGAAACCCAUAAAACUGUUCUCAGUUCGGACUGCAGUCUGCAACUCGACUGCACGAAGAUGGAAUCGCUAGUAAUCGCGAAUCAGCAUGUCGCGGUGAAUACGUUCUCGGGCCUUGUACACACCGCCCGUCACACCAUGAGAGUCGGUAACACCCGAAGCCGGUGGCCUAACCGCAAGGAAGGAGCUGUCUAAGGUGGGACUGAUGAUUGGGGUG
rnacentral:rRNA from 1 species